GGAUGGAACUCUGCGAGAAUAAAAGGACACAUCAGAGGAAAAACUGGAUCUGCAGUAGCUCUCUUCAAGAGCCCUGCUGAUUGGUUGGUUGGUUGAUUUUCAGAGCUGCAAAGGAUGUGUUGUGCGAGGGCAGCUGAGCAGGACGGUGAGGGAAGAGGCAGGAGCUGUGUGUGGGAAGCCAUGCUGUUGCUGCUGCACUGAAGAAGAACUUGUUACAAGGAGACAUGCUGGUAUCACCCUGCUUGUACCAUCUCAUCAUGCUGCUGGAGGCUCUGGCCACAGGACUUGUCCCACAUAGUUUACCUUCUACCAACUGAAGAGGAGAGCAUCACUGGGCAGCCAACCCUCACACAACACAGAAGACACAGAUUACAGCAACAUGCAAGUGUGCUGGCAGCGCAUACAGAGGACUUGGAAACCUGGCUACAGUUUUCACAUGGAAGUUCAUGGCUCAGUUCAGGAGCCACUCAUAAAAAUAUAUUAAGCAUGUUUCCUUGGAGCCUACAUACAGAAAAGGAGAAUUUGAAGAUCUUCGCACAGUGGACAAAUUAGCUGUCACUGAAACUGAAGGAGCAGAAUUUAGACUUGUCCUUCACAUAGCUGAGCAUUUGAAAGGUAAUUUUCAGUUAAAGGAUUGUGGAUUUCUUGGGAUCAAUCAGCUAAUUUGAAAAGAAUUUGCACUAACAUGGAAAAAUACAUUCACAUACAAUCUGAGCUCAUACAUGUUAAACUUCAAUCUAUAUGUGUAAAAUUACUGAAUAAAUUUGAUAGGGCACAGAAAUUAACACCACAUGAGAACUAUAGCAUGUAUAGCUUUAACUCAUAUAUUUUAAAUUGCAAGCACAGAUGUAUUUAUCUAUGGAUAUGAAAACUUCUGUAUUUAAGUUCAUAGUCUGCUGCCCUCCAUAGACUUUUGCCGUAUGCCUCUUGUAGAUCCUGUCUUGAGUAGAACUAGUGACUAUGAUUGUAUUCUACUGUGUCAGCUGAGAAAAAUUUGUAAGGGCAUUUGUACUGCUCUAGACAGGACUUCAAAUCUGGUGGUCUUACCAGCAAUAGAGUGGCAUAAUGAAGUUGGCAGGAUUUCCUUAAAAGUCUUUAUUUUCCUGGAGAGGAUAAGCCAAAAUGGUAACAACUAAAGUUUGGUACACCCCACACAGCAGAGAUGUCUCCAGUACUGCUCAGGGGUGACACAUGGACUCACACGAGAGCCAAAUAACAUGCCUGCACAAAACCAAAUGCACGGCCAAUACAAGCUCACGCAGCUGUGUAAGGAACAUUGUCAUCCACACACCUUAGUUACUGCUUCAGGCAGCAUCUGUCCUCAAACAGGUACCAUAAUGGUAGCCGAAAAGCACAAAACCACCAGAAACCCUAUAGCACUGUGGCCUCUGGCAAAACAAACUCAAGUACGAUUGCAUGCUCAUGCCUGUCCAGGACAGAAGGUUUGAUGGCAAUGAUCUGACAAUAUGUGCCACACUGCCAGUUGCAAUGGCCACAGACCCUUGGCCUAAGUGUGUGUGACAAAUUCUCUUUACUGGUAUUUUUAACUAACAGCAGGCAAACUUUUAAGUUGCACAA